CGCGGCCUAUCAGCUUGUUGGCGGGGUAAUGGCCCACCAAGGCGACGACGGGUAGCUGGUCUGAGAGGAUGGCCAGCCACAUUGGGACUGAGAGACGGCCCAGACUCCUACGGGAGGCAGCAGUGGGGAAUCUUGCGCAAUGGCCGAAAGGCUGACGCAGCGACGCCGCGUGUGGGAUGACGCCUUUCGGGGUGUAAACCACUGUUGCCCGGGACGAACAGCCUUUUUCGAGAGGUCUGACGGUACCGGGUGAGGAAGCACCGGCUAACUCCGUGCCAGCAGCCGCGGUAAUACGGAGGGUGCGAGCGUUGUCCGGAAUCAUUGGGCGUAAAGGGCGCGUAGGUGGCCCGGUCAGUCAGUGGUGAAAGCGCGGGGCUCAACCCUGCGUCGGCCAUUGAUACUGCUGGGCUGGAGCACUGUAGAGGCAGGCGGAAUUCCGGGUGUAGCGGUGGAAUGCGUAGAGAUCCGGAAGAACACCGGUGGCGAAGGCGGCCUGCUGGGCAGUUGCUGACACUGAGGCGCGACAGCGUGGGGAGCAAACAGGAUUAGAUACCCUGGUAGUCCACGCCGUAAACGAUGGGCACUAGGCGCUUGGGGGAGCGACCCCCCGAGGGCCGGCGCUAACGCAUUAAGUACCCCGCCUGGGGAGUACGG
rnacentral:rRNA from 1 species